rnacentral:rRNA from 1 species
UACGGGGGGGGUAAGCGUUGUUCGGAAUUACUGGGCGUAAAGGGCUCGUAGGCGGCCAACUAAGUCAGACGUGAAAUCCCUCAGCUUAACUGGGGAACUGCGUCUGAUACUGGAUGGCUUGGAUUCGGGAGAGGAAUGCGGAAUUCCAGGUGUAGCGGUGAAAUGCGUAGAUAUCUGGAGGAAUACCGGAGGCGAAGGCGGCUCACUGGGACCUAACUGACGCUGAGGAACGAAAGCUAGGGGAGCAAACGGG